rnacentral:rRNA from 1 species
GACGAACGCUGGCGGCGUGCUUAACACAUGCAAGUCGUACGGUAAGGCCCUUUCGGGGGUACACGAGUGGCGCACGGGUGAGUAACACGUGAGUAACCUGCCCACAACUUUGGGAUAACGCUAGGAAACUGGUGCUAAUACUGGAUAUGUGCUCCUGCUGCAUGGUGGGGGUUGGAAAGCUCCGGCGGUUGUGGAUGGACUCGCGGCCUAUCAGCUUGUUGGUGGGGUAGUGGCCUACCAAGGCGGCGACGGGUAGCCGGCCUGAGAGGGUGACCGGCCACAUUGGGGCUGAGAUACGGCCCAGACUCCUACGGGAGGCAGCAGUGGGGAAUAUUGCACAAUGGGCGGAAGCCUGAUGCAGCAACGCCGCGUGCGGGAUGACGGCCUUCGGGUUGUAAACCGCUUUCGCCUGUGACGAAGCGUGAGUGACGGUAAUGGGUAAAGAAGCACCGGCUAACUACGUG